UACACUCCUACGGGAGGCAGCAGUGGGGAAUUUUGGACAAUGGGCGAAAGCCUGAUCCAGCAAUGCCGCGUGAGUGAAGAAGGCCUUCGGGUUGUAAAGCUCUUUUGUCAGGGAAGAAACGGUGAAAGCUAAUAUCUUUUGCUAAUGACGGUACCUGAAGAAUAAGCACCGGCUAACUACGUGCCAGCAGCCGCGGUAAUACGUAGGGUGCAAGCGUUAAUCGGAAUUACUGGGCGUAAAGCGUGCGCAGGCGGUUUUGUAAGUCUGAUGUGAAAUCCCCGGGCUCAACCUGGGAAUUGCAUUGGAGACUGCAAGGCUAGAAUCUGGCAGAGGGGGGUAGAAUUCCACGUGUAGCAGUGAAAUGCGUAGAUAUGUGGAGGAACACCGAUGGCGAAGGCAGCCCCCUGGGUCAAGAUUGACGCUCAUGCACGAAAGCGUGGGGAGCAAACAGGAUUAGAAACCCGGGUAGUCCC
rnacentral:rRNA from 1 species